rnacentral:misc_RNA from 1 species
UUGUUUUCUUCAUUCUCUCUCUAGAAGAGCUGAUAAGAAUCUAAAAGAAAUGGAGCACAGUGAAGCAACCAAUUCUAACACUAACUCAUCUUCUCCUUCUUCUUCAUCUUCUCCGCCGUCGCCACCGAUGCCACCGGUGGUUAUCAGUCCUUGUGCGGCUUGUAAGAUUCUCAGGCGAAGAUGUGCUGAGAAGUGCGUUUUGGCUCCGUAUUUUCCUCCUACUGAACCGGCG